ACGAUGAAGGAGGAGCUUGCUCCUCCGGAUUAGUGGCGAACGGGUGAGUAAUACGUGAGCAAUGUGCCCUUGACUCUGGGAUAAGCGCUGGAAACGGCGUCUAAUACCGGAUACGACCCUCGGAGGCAUCUCCUGAUGGUGGAAAGAACUUCGGUCAAGGAUCAGCUCACGGCCUAUCAGCUAGUUGGUGAGGUAACGGCUCACCAAGGCGACGACGGGUAGCCGGCCUGAGAGGGUGACCGGCCACACUGGGACUGAGACACGGCCCAGACUCCUACGGGAGGCAGCAGUGGGGAAUAUUGCACAAUGGGCGCAAGCCUGAUGCAGCAACGCCGCGUGAGGGACGACGGCCUUCGGGUUGUAAACCUCUUUUAGCAGGGAAGAAGCGAAAGUGACGGUACCUGCAGAAAAAGCACCGGCUAACUACGUGCCAGCAGCCGCGGUAAUACGUAGGGUGCAAGCGUUGUCCGGAAUUAUUGGGCGUAAAGAGCUCGUAGGCGGUCUGUCACGUCUGCUGUGAAAACCCGAGGCUCAACCUCGGGCUUGCAGUGGGUACGGGCAGACUAGAGUGCGGUAGGGGAGAUUGGAAUUCCUGGUGUAGCGGUGGAAUGCGCAGAUAUCAGGAGGAACACCGAUGGCGAAGGCAGAUCUCUGGGCCGUAACUGACGCUGAGGAGCGAAAGCAUGGGGAGCAAACAGGCUUAGAUACCCUGGUAGUCCAUGCCGUAAACGUUGGGAACUAGAUGUGGGGACCAUUCCACGGUCUCCGUGUCGUAGCUAACGCAUUAAGUUCCCCGCCUGGGGAGUACGGCCGCAAGGCU
rnacentral:rRNA from 1 species